rnacentral:rRNA from 1 species
UAGGUUGAGCCUACGUCGGAUUAGCUAGUUGGUGGGGUAAAGGCCUACCAAAGCGACGAUCCGUAGCUGGUCUGAGAGGAUGACCAGCCACACUGGGACUGAGACACGGCCCAGACUCCUACGGGAGGCAUCAGUGGGGAAUCUUGGACAAUGGGGGAAACCCUGAUCCAGCGAUACCGCGUGUGUGAAGAAGGCCUUCGGG